CCCUUAGAUGUUCUGGGCCGCACGCGCGCUACACUGAUGCAUUCAACGAGUCUAAACCCUGCUCUGAUAGGGGUGGGUAAUCUUUUGAAUGUGCAUCGUGAUUGGGAUAGAUGAUUGCAAUUUUUCAUCUUCAACGAGGAAUGCCUAGUAAACGCAAGUCAUCAGCUUGCAUUGAUUACGUCCCUGCCCUUUGUACACACCGCCCGUCGCUCCUACCGAUUGAAUGAUCCGAUGAAUAUCAUGGAUUGAGGAUGCAAGUAGGUUAGCCUAUCUUCAUCUUCGAGAAGUGAAGUAAAUCUUAUCAUUUAGAGGAAGGAGAAGUCGUAACA
rnacentral:rRNA from 1 species